CCUACGGGUGGCAGCAGUGAGGAAUAUUGGUCAAUGGACGAGAGUCUGAACCAGCCAAGCCGCGUGAGGGAUGAAGGCCCUAUGCGUUGUAAACCUCUUUUAUAUGGGAAUAAAAUGUUGCACGUGCGUGAUCUUGUAUGUACCAUAUGAAUACGGAUCGGCUAACUCCGCGCCAGCAGCCGCGGUAAUCCGGAGGAUCCGAGCGUUACCCGGAUUUAGUGGGUUUAAAGGGAGCGUAGGUGGAGUGUUAAGUCAGGUGUGAAAGUUUGCGGCUCAACCGGAAGAUUGCAGUUGAAACUGGGAGGCUGGAGUGCAGGAGAGGUGGGCGGAAUUCGUGGUGUAGCGGUGAAAUGCUUAGAUAUCACGAAGAACACCGAUGGCGAAGGCAGCUUGCUGGACUGCAACUGACGCUGAGGCUCGAAAGUGUGGGUAUCAAACAGGAUUAGAUACCCGAGUAGUC
rnacentral:rRNA from 1 species